ACCAAAAUAUUGAUGCUACAUGAAAAUAAAUAGUACAAUAAUAAUUAGCACUACAGAAUUACAGAAGAAUCAUACAAAAAAUUAAGUGAAACAAAUAUUUGUUACAUUUUGUGAUUUAAAUA